GAGUGAACGCUGGCGGUAGGCCUAACACAUGCAAGUCGAACGGCAGCACAGUAAGAGCUUGCUCUUAUGGGUGGCGAGUGGCGGACGGGUGAGGAAUACAUCGGAAUCUACCUUUUCGUGGGGGAUAACGUAGGGAAACUUACGCUAAUACCGCAUACGACCUUCGGGUGAAGGCAGGGGACCUUCGGGCCUUGCGCGGAUAGAUGAGCCGAUGUCGGAUUAGCUAGUUGGCGGGGUAAAGGCCCACCAAGGCGACGAUCCGUAGCUGGUCUGAGAGGAUGAUCAGCCACACUGGAACUGAGACACGGUCCAGACUCCUACGGGAGGCAGCAGUGGGGAAUAUUGGACAAUGGGCGCAAGCCUGAUCCAGCCAUACCGCGUGGGUGAAGAAGGCCUUCGGGUUGUAAAGCCCUUUUGUUGGGAAAGAAAAGCAGUCGGCUAAUACCCGGUUGUUCUGACGGUACCCAAAGAAUAAGCACCGGCUAACUUCGUGCCAGCAGCCGCGGUAAUACGAAGGGUGCAAGCGUUACUCGGAAUUACUGGGCGUAAAGCGUGCGUAGGUGGUUGUUUAAGUCUGUUGUGAAAGCCCUGGGCUCAACCUGGGAAUUGCAGUGGAUACUGGGCGACUAGAGUGUGGUAGAGGGUAGUGGAAUUCCCGGUGUAGCAGUGAAAUGCGUAGAGAUCGGGAGGAACAUCCAUGGCGAAGGCAGCUACCUGGACCAACACUGACACUGAGGCACGAAAGCGUGGGG
rnacentral:rRNA from 1 species